rnacentral:lncRNA from 1 species
UUAAAAAUAUUAAACAUGCAUGAAAUGCAACUAAAUAAAGAAAAACUUCUAAAAUUCCUUUAAAAAAAUUAUUUUGGUCUAUUUUUAGGAGUUAUUUUCAUGUAGGGUAAAAAUCACGUGCUCACAGCUGCCCCUCUUUGCUCGAAAACAUGAAGUGCUUUCGGGCAAAGAUAAAGUGAGCAAUAUGAGGAAUUUUUGCCCGUUUGAAACUCCAUGAGAAGUAUUUUUGAAAAGAGCCUGACUGAACCCUGCUUCAUAGGUUGCCUACAUAUCCUUGGUUAUAAAGAAAUCUGGUCAGUGUAGUUCUGGAAGUUUCGGUAGUUGGGACUACCGGUAAGCUGUGAUUUCACUGCUCUUACUGUUGUUUCUGCUUGCUGAGCUCCUUAUUACACCAAAACAAGAAAUAAAAAAGCUAAACUAAGUCUAUCAGCUACGAGUUACAAGAUUCCUAUCUAUAAAUCUCUUGAAGCUUGAUCUUGAGUCUUGGCUGGUUCUUGCUGCAGACUCCGAUCUGAAUCUUGAUGCUCGUCAACUGUGACCGCUGGUUCAUUCUUCAGCUUUGGAUCAAGGCGGGACAUGCGAAACUUGUGACUUCAAUCAUAUCUUGGGUAGUCCGCAUCUUUCAUUAACUUCUGCAUUUGGAUUCACGUCUUGUCUUUCUUUUUUUUCUUUUUUUAUUUUGGAUUGUGACUAACUUCUGUUGAUCAUCUCGGACUGUUGACUCGCAUUCUUGACGCGAGGUUCUUUUGUUGUUGACCUGAAUUGCAUUUUGGAUUGAAUUCUCUUAUUUUCCAGGCGGGCACCUGAUUGCUAAAACUUUAACUGACUUUUGUUGAAACUUGAACUGUUUCCCCUUGAAGCUUGAAUUGUCUUCCUUCAAAACUGCUUUUCCUUGAAACUUGAACUGUCUUUCCUUUGAAACUUACACUGCUUUUCCUCAAAACUUGAACUGUUUUCCUUCGUUCUCCAGGUGGGCGCCUGAUUACAACAAAACAAACAAAACAAAAGAAAUUUUUUCUACCCCAGUUUGCACUAGGAAGAUUUGUGAGUUGUUAACAAAUACUAGGAAAACUAUAAACUAAGCUUGACUAAAGUAAAAACUGACCCUAUUCUCCAGGCGGGGCCCCUGAUUUCAAGAAACUAAACAUUGAUAACGUAAGAAAACGAAAAAUUGACCCCUUUUUUUUUUCAAAUCCAGACUUCCCUUUUUUUUCAAAAUAUCCUCGGAGAAAAUUCGUCCGACUAGGUUUCUAUCUUAGGAGAAAGAUUCAUCAGACUAAGAGGUUAAUCCUAGAGAAAAUUCAUCAAACUAGGUCCUUUUUCUCUUCUUUUUUUUUUGUUUUUUUUGGUAUCUUAGGAGAAAGAUUCAUCCGACUAAGAUUUCAUCCUAGGAGAAAGUUCAUCAGACUAGGUCUUCUAUCUUAGGUGAAAAAUUCAUCAGACUAAGAUUUUGAUCCUAGGAGAAAGUUCAUCAGACUAGGUCCUCUUUUUGUUAUCUUAGGAGAAAGAUUCAUCAGACUAAGACGUUNNNN